AACCUUCAAGGGAGUUUCAAAAUGAGACAGCAACUAAGAAUUGCUCAAAACGGGCAUCCUCAAAAUUUUUCCAACGUUGGAGGGGUAAAAAAAAAAAAGCUAAAUCCAGACCUCAAACCUUUAAGAGUGCUACUAAAAGUAACCAGAAACUGAAACAGAGAUUCGAAAUCCAUAAAUUGCUCAAUCCCAGCAAAAGAAUGCUGUUAGAACCAAAACUAGCAAUUGUAUUCACUGAAAAGGAAAAGAUCUGAAACUUCAAAUUGCUAUAAUCACUUUUGAUGCUUCACAAUUCAAGUCACAGUCUACAAUCACAGUAAUAAGUUCCCAAAAUGCUCUAACACAUUCAAAAUUUCAACAAUACUUUUUAACUGAAACAAGUUUCCACAAAAUUUUCCUAAAGGUAACAGGGUAUCAAACUAUCAAAAAACAAAAACCCACAGAAUAUCCAGAGAAAACCAUACCCGUUCGAGAGCGGAAAGGUUUACCAGCGGCAGAACACCUCUGAAUCACAAAGCAAAUGGCUACACUAGAAACCUCGAGGCGAGGCUGAUAGUGGAAGCCAGAACAGCAACCUUUGGCAGACGCACCGCUGCACACCAGCAUGUGGGGAGAUGGUAGAAGACUGAUCUGGUGCGUGUAGGCUACUCCCUUGAAAUCCGGUGGCCAGAUUUUCAAGACAGGCCGGUCUGUGGCUUGAGAUUCUCAGGGGAUGGCGGUGAGACAAAAAUAU
rnacentral:misc_RNA from 1 species